rnacentral:lncRNA from 1 species
GCAAAACAGCCCGCCCCGCGCCCGCCGCCUGACUGCCUUCCGGACGCGGGCUCGCGCCUCCCGGGCGCACCUCGGGGCCCGCGGGCCGAGUGUCGCUAGGACGUUUUCCGCAGGCCUAGCAGGCGGACCCCGCGGCUCGGAGCAAGCGGUGCAGGGGCAGGAGCGAUUCCCAUUCGAGGAGUUUGACCUCUCAUUUUAAUACAACACCCGCCUCUUAGAGGCAGCAGACCAGUCCAGCCAGGUCAAGGUGUGGACCGCACAACGGGGUGCACAGGAUUAGUUAAGCAAAGCAGGAACCCAGCUGGAAAAUUAAACGAGCCCUGGAUCUGCAAAGCAGGUCCCUUCGCGAGACCAAAGCCGUGAUCCCAACCUUAGCAACAUAAUUCUACUGGAGGUGUUGAUAUAUAUACUAAUCCAGAACAACCAUGUAGCAAGAGGAAUAAAAUGAAGUUCAGAAGUCUGUUUCGGGAAAUUUUGAAGCCCUUUAGAAAGAAAGAUUUCUACAUUUUGUUACAUGAAAUUCAUGCAAAUAUAUGUCAGGUGCCAGUGCUAUGGAGUUGUUGAAGAAUAAGCACAAUACCAUUUAUUACCACUUCUCAGUUGUAAAGAGGCUGUAACUCUGGUUGUCGAAAUAAAAUAAAAUGAAAUCUCCUAGAUGUGA